rnacentral:rRNA from 1 species
UACGGGGGGGGCAAGCGUUGUUCGGAAUUACUGGGCGUAAAGCGUGCGCAGGCGGUUUUGUAAGCCAGAUGUGAAAUCCCCGGGCUCAACCUGGGAAUGGCAUUUGGGACUGCAAGGCUUGAGUGCGGCAGAGGAGACUGGAAUUCCUGGUGUAGCAGUGAAAUGCGUAGAUAUUGGGAAGAACACCGAUGGCGAAGGCAGCCAUCUGGACCGACACUGACGCUGAGGCGCGAAAGCGUGGGGAGCAAACAGG